rnacentral:rRNA from 1 species
AGUCGAACGCGAAAGUACCUUCGGGUAUGAGUAGAGUGGCGGACGGGUGAGUAACGCGUGGAAAUCUGCCUGGUAGUGGGGGAUAACAGUCGGAAACGACUGCUAAUACCGCAUACGUCCUACGGGAGAAAGCGGGGGAUCUUCGGACCUCGUGCUAUCAGAUGAGUCCGCGUCCGAUUAGCUAGUUGGAGGGGUAACGGCCCACCAAGGCGACUAUCGGUAGCUGGUCUGAGAGGAUGAUCAGCCACACUGGGACUGAGACACGGCCCAGACUCCUACGGGAGGCAGCAGUGGGGAAUAUUGGACAAUGGGGGCAACCCUGAUCCAGCAAUGCCGCGUGCGUGAAGAAGGCCUUAGGGUUGUAAAGCGCUUUCGCCCGCGACGAUGAUGACGGUAGCGGGAGAAGAAGCCCCGGCUAACUCCGUGCCAGCAGCCGCGGUAAUACGGAGGGGGCGAGCGUUGUUCGGAAUUACUGGGC